GACGAACGCUGGCGGCGUGCUUAACACAUGCAAGUCGAACGGUGACCUGAGGUGCUUGCACCUUGGUGAUCAGUGGCGAACGGGUGAGUAACACGUGAGGAACCUGCCCCAGACUCUGGAAUAACCCCGGGAAACCGGAGCUAAUACCGGAUAUGACAUCAGGCCGCAUGGUCAUGGUGUGGAAAGUUUUUCGGUCUGGGAUGGCCUCGCGGCCUAUCAGCUUGUUGGUGAGGUAGUGGCUCACCAAGGCGACGACGGGUAGCCGGCCUGAGAGGGCGACCGGCCACACUGGGACUGAGACACGGCCCAGACUCCUACGGGAGGCAGCAGUGGGGGAUCUUGCGCAAUGGGCGAAAGCCUGACGCAGCCAUGCCGCGUGAAUGAUGAAGGUCUUAGGAUUGUAAAGCUCUUUCGCACACGACGAUGAUGACGGUAGUGUGAGAAGAAGCCCCGGCUAACUUCGUGCCAGCAGCCGCAGUAAGAC
rnacentral:rRNA from 1 species